rfam:Rattus norvegicus chromosome 10, whole genome shotgun sequence.
GGGGACUUAGCUCAGUGGUAGAGCGCUUGCCUAGCAAGCGCAAGGCCCUGGGUUCGGUCCCCA